ACUCCAGACUCCUACGGGAGGCAGCAGUGGGGGAUAUUGCACAAUGGGGGAAACCCUGAUGCAGCGACGCCGCGUGGGUGAAGAAGCGCCUCGGCGCGUAAAGCCCUGUCAGCAGGGAAGAAAAUGACGGUACCUGAAGAAGAAGCCCCGGCUAACUACGUGCCAGCAGCCGCGGUAAUACGUAGGGGGCAAGCGUUAUCCGGAUUUACUGGGUGUAAAGGGGGCGCAGACGGCGAUGCAAGCCAGGAGUGAAAGCCCGGGGCCCAACCCCGGGACUGCUCUUGGAACUGCGUGGCUAGAGUGCAGGAGGGGCAGGCGGAAUUCCUGGUGUAGCGGUGAAAUGCGUAGAUAUACGGAGGAACACCAGUGGCGAAGGCGGCCUGCUGGACAUUAACUGACGCUGAGGCGCGAAAGCGUGGGGAGCAAACAGGAUUAGAUACCCGAGUAA
rnacentral:rRNA from 1 species